AAUGAACGUUGGCGGCGUGGAUUAGGCAUGCAAGUCGUACGGAGGUAGCAAUACCUUAGUGGCGAAAGGGAUAGUAAUACAUAGAUAUCUGCCCCCCGGUCGAGGAUAGCUACGGGAAACUGUAGGUAAUACUCGAUGAUUUCUCCGGAACAAAGGUGUGAUUCCGCCGGGGGAUGAGUCUAUGUCCUAUUAGCUUGUUGGCGGGGUAAUGGCCCACCAAGGCUAAGAUGGGUACGAGGCGUGAGAGCGUGACCUCGAUCACUGGGACUGAGACACUGCCCAGACACCUACGGGUGGCUGCAGUCGAGAAUCUUCGGCAAUGGACGAAAGUCUGACCGAGCGACGCCGCGUGUGUGAUGAAGGUCUUCGGAUUGUAAAGCACUGUAAGUUGGGAGGAAAUGUGUGGGGGUACUCCCCCAUGCUUGACCUAUCUUCAAAGUAAGGACGGGCUAAGUUCGUGCCAGCCGCCGCAGUAACAC
rnacentral:rRNA from 1 species